GAGCCUGUCUGGCGUAUAUAGGUACUGCUAAUUCCUCAUUACUGUAGUUCAAUUCUACAGCAAGCUCG
rnacentral:tRNA from 1 species